GACGAACGCUGGCGGCGUGCUUAACACAUGCAAGUCGAACGGAAAGGCCCCCAUCUUGGUGGGGGUGCUCGAGUGGCGAACGGGUGAGUAACACGUGGGUGAUCUGCCCUGUACUUCGGGAUAAGCUUGGGAAACUGGGUCUAAUACCGGAUAGGACCAUGGUUUAGUGUCUCAUGGUGGAAAGAUUAUUGUUUUGGUGCAGGAUGAGCUCGCGGCCUAUCAGCUUGUUGGUGGGGUAAUGGCCUACCAAGGCGUCGACGGGUAGCCGGCCUGAGAGGGUGGACGGCCACAUUGGGACUGAGAUACGGCCCAGACUCCUACGGGAGGCAGCAGUGGGGAAUAUUGCACAAUGGGCGCAAGCCUGAUGCAGCGACGCCGCGUGGGGGAUGACGGCCUUCGGGUUGUAAACUCCUUUCGUUAGGGACGAAGCCGCACUUUUUUUGGGUGUGGUGACGGUACCUUUGUUAAGAAGCACCGGCUAACCACGUG
rnacentral:rRNA from 1 species